UGGGGUGUCGCUCAGGGGUGGAGUGCAUGCUUAGCAUGCACAAGGUCCUGGGUUCAAUCCCCAGUACCUCCA
rnacentral:tRNA from 1 species